UUUCAUGUCUUUUGUAUUAAAGAAUUAAAUAGAUGAAAUAUGAAGUUUUAUUAAAAGAAAAAGGGGUGAAAAGAACAAAGUUUUGUCCAUCUUUGUUCAUCAUAGCUGAAAGUUAGAGAAGAGAAAGGAGAGGAGAAAGCUCUUGAGUAUUCGGUCAUUAGGAGGAGGAAAAUUGAAGGCGGUUCGUGUGUGGAUCUUGUCAGCAUAUCGUCGCAAACAGGUAAUCCCCAACCAUAGUGGGCUUGGAG